rnacentral:rRNA from 1 species
AUAGCGAACAAGUACCGUGAGGGAAAGUUGAAAAGCACUCUGGAGAGAGAGUCAAAAGACCGUGAAACCGCUCAGAGUAUAAGCCCAUGGCAGCUUGGAAGGCAUAUCGCUAGCGGGGCAUCGGUCUCCCUUCACGGGGAGCUGGUGUUACCUUGCUUCUGUUGUGGCUCGUUAUGGUAGGGGGGUCAGGUCCACAUCCCGCCGUCGUGUGGGGAGUUCUCGGGCGUGUCGCGGCCUUGCGGUUGACUUCGGUUGGCCGUGGGGCUCUUCGUGCUUGGUUCUUCUUUAGACACGGACGUUCAGACUCAGUUGCAAGACGCGAUAACCAGCCCACCACGGCACGUUGUGAGGUCACCCUCAGGCUCGACUUUCGAUUGUGGUCCUUGACGCCGAGCAAGCACUGUGCGUGUCGCAGAUUUCCUAACCAGGCAAAACUCGUUUGUCAGGAUCGUGGAACGACACGCGCUCAACAGUCAGGACCGGGCGAUGACAGAGUUCUGGUACGAUCCUCAUGCGACGAGCCGCCUUCUGGCCGAUUUCCGAUGCUCAGGUCUCCCGCAUGUGCCGCGGGAGAUCGCUUUGACGGUCUGGAGCUUUCACAAGUCCUCUCAGUCGGGCAACGGAAAGAGUGGUGUAAAGUCCAAGCCCAUCGGUCACGUCUCGAAACACGGGCCAAGGAGUAUAGCAUGUGUGCAAGUCUAAGGGUCUCACAAAACCCGAAGGCGAAGUGAAAGCAAGUAUGCGGCGGGUGAUCUA